CAUCGGUUCUCACUGCUAUUGUUCUUUCUACUUCUCUUUAGUUUUUUUUUUCUUUUCAAUUGGAUCUUAACAUCAGUUAGCUAGGCGCACAAAGGAAUUUUGAAAAAUAAGGUGUAUCAAUGCCAAUAGAUGGAAAAAAUGUCUAAACUCUUCAAGUUGUAUUUCUCGGUGAUGGAUUGCACUAAAUGGUGUAGUACGAACUGAUUUCUCUGUUAGUUGAGACUGCUAUAUUACAAUGGGCCAUCUACUAAUUGAAAAGUGUGUAAUUACAUGAAGCAGGCGAGAGCAACAUGGUAAAAAGAAAAUUCAAAGAGAAGCUUGAACUACGUUACUACUCCAAAAAAACACUUUUAAAAAAAAGGAUAUUCAAAAGUUUUUUGGGUUGAUCAGGGUGACUUGAACUGGAUUCAUUUAUGCUAAUAUUAUACGUAGCUAAGGACGAAAAGAAAAUUGUUCGCACUAACAGCAGCCCAGGUCAACUAUUUGAAUUGAAACAAUCGGGAACUUUGUAUAGUCAUAUAUAUAAGUACUAACUUUUAAUCUUAGUAUUCUUCAAUAUACCUUCAUAUUAUGUAUAUGUAUAUAUGUACAAGAAAUAUGCUAGAAUUUCUAAUAUAAUAGAGAUACCAAAUUUGGUGUUGUUGGGCCCGUGCUUUAGCACGGGUAUGCGUGACUAGUGUCUUAAUAGCUUGUGCCGGAAUGAAAAGUUGUUAUCUUGGGGAGUUGGUACAUGGUCAAAUCUUGAAAUUGGGGUUCUUGAUUAUUAUUUUUGUGGGUAAUACUUUAAUAGCUGUGUACACUGCUAUUGACAAUAUGGAAGCUGCAAGAUUAGUUUUUUAUGA